GGGACAGAGGAGCAGUUGCUGCCUGCCCUGCAUGAGGAGUGAGGAGCUUACCUUCGGGUUACAAGCAGUGUGACAAUUAGAUGAUUGUAUGUUCUCUUGGGGAAUUUGUCCCAUCAAUAUUAAGAAGGAAGAUGUAAUGAAGUUAAAAUUUAGAGAUGGUCCCUCACAGAAGAAUGAAGAAUUUGGGAACUGGAAGAUCGUCCCUCUGUCAGGAACAAUUUGCUGGCUGGUUGAAGACAAAGGGUCUGCAGAGGUUGCCUAGUGGUCCUCAGUUAAAGUUUGUUCUUUGUUUUUUCUCAUUCAUAUGAUAUCUGUACUUGUUGAACCCAAUGAUCAUUAUACUUGUUGGGGUGGGGAGCUCACAUAAAUCCUCUUUUAGUGAUGGAAACUAUGAUGUAUUGUUCAUAAGCUAUUAUAUGUGGCACCGUUUCUUUAAAGGUUGUAACUUUGUAUGCCUCCUCAAGCAACUUGUUUGUUUUUAGUUUGGGUCCCUGUUCAGAAAAAAACAGUUAGUCUAAGCUAGUUUAAGCCCCAAUAUUAGUCUUAUUGUUGAACAUUUUCUAGCAGAUCCCAGAGAACUGAGGAAUCCUUGUUUGUAAUACAUUUUGGGCCUGGGUUGACCAUGCCCUCAGUCAAAAUAGCACAAGCAGUGUUGGCUCAGAAAAUGUUUGUCAGUUUCAGCGUAUUUCACCUGGUUUAUAUUUCAUCUCUCCCCUCACAGUCCUAAGAAAGGCUGCUUGCUGGUAAGGGAUCACUUGAUCCUAACUACUGUUGACCAGUCUAGCUGGCUUCCCUUGUGGACUUGCUGAUGCUCCCCAAGGGGCAACAGUCCCUCUGACAUCUUACCAAUGCUGUUGUCAGCAGCUAUCUGUUAUACCCUAGAUCCAGAUGCCCUAAAAGUCUCAGCCCCAUUUAUGAAAGGACGAUCCUGCAGAAGCUGAAUAUUUUGGAUAGGCUAGCCUAGCUUGUACAAAGAUGCAGGCAUCUCUGUGGGUAAUUCUAUGACCUGUGAGAUACAGGAAAAAUCAGCAGGGCUAAGUACAGACAGUGAAAAGGCCCAAGGAUGAAUUGAUUCAAUCUUUGCAAGUUAGUCUAAGCAACAUACAUUGAAUCUAUAAGCAAGUGAAUAGACAUUCACUUUUAGAAAUGCAGCCACAUGCCUACAGUGGCCCGGGCCAAAAGCUGGGGGGCAUUAGAGUAUGUCUCCCAUAUUAGCUGGAGCAGACAGCAUGGGGCAAAGCUAGCCUACCUACCCCACAAAGUGGAGUUUGUGGGGGAGGUGCGAAGCAGGGUUUGCGAGGAAGGUGCAAAGCAUGCUGGGAUGCUGGGGUAUUGUGAGUUAACUUGAAUCUGAUGGCUGUGGUGUUCACUUUUGGCCUUGAAAUCUAAAAUGAGAUUUAUGGGGUUGGCCUAAUGUUAAGCUACUUUCCUAAAGGGGUUUGGAGAAGGGAUUGAGCAUUUUCAAACCAUUUCUGUUAGUCCUAGCAGAUUACAUCAACAAGGAAGAGUCUGCUGUUUAAUACUGGAUUUUUUUGAGAUCUGAAAAUAUUCUGUAUAUUUUACAUAUAUCUAGGGAUAAAGAUAGUUGGGCAGUUUUU